GAUGAACGCUGGCGGCGUGCCUAAUACAUGCAAGUCGAGCGAACAGACGAGGAGCUUGCUCCUCUGACGUUAGCGGCGGACGGGUGAGUAACACGUGGAUAACCUACCUAUAAGACUGGGAUAACUUCGGGAAACCGGAGCUAAUACCGGAUAACAUGUUGAACCGCAUGGUUCAACAGUGAAAGACGGUUUUGCUGUCACUUAUAGAUGUAUCCGCGCCGCAUUAGCUAGUUGGUAAGGUAACGGCUUACCAAGGCAACGAUGCGUAGCCGACCUGAGAGGGUGAUCGGCCACACUGGAACUGAGACACGGUCCAGACUCCUACGGGAGGCAGCAGUAGGGAAUCUUCCGCAAUGGGCGAAAGCCUGACGGAGCAACGCCGCGUGAGUGAAGAAGGUCUUCGGAUCGUAAAACUCUGUUAUUAGGGAAGAACAAAUGUGUAAGUAACUAUGCACGUCUUGACGGUACCUAAUCAGAAAGCCACGGCUAACUACGUG
rnacentral:rRNA from 1 species